rnacentral:rRNA from 1 species
UGGGGAAUAUUGGACAAUGGGCGCAAGCCUGAUCCAGCCAUACCGCGUGGGUGAAGAAGGCCUUCGGGUUGUAAAGCCCUUUUGUUGGGAAAGAAAUCCAGCUGGUUAAUACCCGGUUGGGAUGACGGUACCCAAAGAAUAAGCACCGGCUAACUUCGUGCCAGCAGCCGCGGUAAUACGAAGGGUGCAAGCGUUACUCGGAAUUACUGGGCGUAAAGCGUGCGUAGGUGGUCGUUUAAGUCUGUUGUGAAAGCCCUGGGCUCGACCUGGGAACUGCAGUGGAAACUGGACGACUAGAGUGUGGUAGAGCGUAGCGGAAUUCCUGGUGUAGCAGUGAAAUGCGUAGAGAUCAGGAGGAACAUCCGUGGCGAAGGCGGCUUUCUGGACAGCGAUUGACGCUGAGACGCGAAAGCGUGGGGAGCAAACA